GACGAACGCUGGCGGCGUGCUUAACACAUGCAAGUCGAACGAGUGGCGGACGGGUGAGUAAUGUCUGGGAAACUGCCUGAUGGAGGGGGAUAACUACUGGAAACGGUAGCUAAUACCGCAUACCAUCGGAUGUGCCCAGAUGGGAUUAGCUAGUGGGUGGGGUAACGGCUCACCUAGGCGACGAUCCCUAGCUGGGCUGAGAGGAUGAAACGCCAAACUGGAACUGAGACACGGUCCAGACUCCUACGGGAGGCAGCAGUGGGGAAUAUUGCACAAUGGGCGCAAGCCUGAUGCAGCCAUGCCGCGUGUAUGAAGAAGGCCUUCGGGUUGUAAAGUACUUUCAGCGGGGAGGCGUUACCCGCAGAAGAAGCACCGGCUAACUCCGUGCCAGCAGCCGCGGUAAUAC
rnacentral:rRNA from 1 species